rnacentral:rRNA from 1 species
UACGGAGGGGGCUAGCGUUGUUCGGAAUUACUGGGCGUAAAGCGCGCGUAGGCGGACUGUUAAGUCGGGGGUGAAAUCCCGGGGCUCAACCCCGGAACUGCCUUCGAUACUGGCGGUCUAGAGGUCUGGAGAGGUGAGUGGAAUUCCGAGUGUAGAGGUGAAAUUCGUAGAUACUCGGAGGAACACCAGUGGCGAAGGCGGCUCACUGGCCAGAUUCCGGCGCUGAGGUGCGAAAGCGUGGGGAGCAAACAGG